AACUAUCUGGAGACCGUCCUCUUCCUACCUCCGAAAUCUGGGUGGUCUAUGGCAAUGUUCCUUUUUGUCAGUGCACGAGGAAUAAAUAGAGGAGAGAAUGUUUCAGCACCGUAAGACUCCACCGUUCAAUGACAGGUUGUUGGCAGGAGCAUAUUUGCCUGAGGAAUAACAGUCCCUCUCUCUUCUGUUCUCCACUCUCCCCAGCUUUGGAUUGUGCAUAAACACUGAAGUUAAUACCACACUUUCACCAGGAUGCAAAGACAACUGAAAGAUCAUAGAACGUCAACAACUUCUCAAUGAGUGCAGAUACGAGAAACAAAGAGGUGAGAUUCGAGUUGGUUGAAAAAAGUACUUUUUAAAUCGUUAAAAGUAAGCAUAACGAAUUAAAUCCUUAUCUCACUUCUUUACCCCCAACCAUAUGUAAUGGGAAAGCACUGACUCAGCCUCUCUCCUCCUCAUUCUCAUAUCUGGGAAACUCCACCUUGGCUCAGAACAUCAAUUUGUUGCUAGCUCUGCCCAAGGAUCCCUGCAACUCACACGUAUCCAGGCAUGUAUUGAAAAAGGCCUGGUCUUCUUGUGUAAAAUGUUCCACUGGAACGGGCCUGGAAUCAGCAGCUGCAUAUGCGUUCCCUAAAAACCUGGCAAAAAUCAGUUCAUAGCUCCCCAGAUCCUUGUAGGCACAGCUGAACUUAGUGCUACAGGGGAACUAGAAUGGCUUUUUCCAGACUGAUGGGCCCUAGGGCCCUUCCAGACAAACUGUUUAUUAGUAAGCAUGCAUCCCGAGGUGUUUGCUAGGAGAUACACAGCCUUGGCUGUUUAAUGAGUGUUCAUUUUUAUUUGGGAGGUUAGGGGACCGUUUCCAGUUACCCCACACUUUCAAACAUUUGCUCUGUAAACAUAUGCCACAGAGAGAGUGGCUGCCCUUAGAUCCUUUGAAAUAAAAUCUAGCCUGUGCUAGAUUGAUAUCUUCGUUGUUACUCAGAUAUUUUUUUUAAUGUCCUGAAAUGACAAAAAUUAAUUCUGCUCAGGAAGAAAAUUCAGUGCAAAUAAUUCAGAACUAAUACAAUAAAACGGAGGAGCAAUAAACUAGAUGAGGGGGCUGAUUUCCUUUCUGUUUGUUCUCUUCCUUGUUGGAGGUUCCUGUAAAAUUGUCUUGUUUAGACAACCACCAGCUGGUUGCUAAGGUGGAGGUCAGAGCAACCUUAUUUGGUGCCUGCGUCAAGUGGCUUUCGGGAAACGUCACUGAUGUCCUCUUCAUGUUUGAGGUCCUAGAACUAGUCAGUGAUAAAGCAAGUUCAUUUCCAUAAUUGAUCGAACCUUACCUGACAUUAAAGAAGCAGCUGAGGCUUAAAUAGUGCGGAAUAACCUCAAUUUCCAGAGGAUUCUGGUGGUUAGUUCUGAAGAGCUAAAGCUGUGUACAUACUCCUGUUUACUCAGCAGCCAAUGUGGACCCACUGCUGAUUUUGGAAGCAGCAUACACAAGGUGUUGUUGGCCACAAUCCACAUCUUUUCCUGUACUUAUCCUGCUAUUUCUUAAGGAAAUGCUUCCUUCUAGUGUGUUUUCCCUGCAAACCAGGUUCAACCCAAACUGAGAAAUAGAACGACUUAGCUGCCUUUUAAGUCGGUAACGUGUACACAGCCUUCAUCUUGAUUCGGCUCCUUGUUCCUGUUGAGAUAGAUUAGGAAUCUUCGGCAUUUGCAAGGCUGUGAUUCUCCACUGUGUGCGAAUGAUCAAAGAUCAUUGAUGAUUAUCUGCAGGAAAAACCUUUGAGUUUCUCUCUCUUUGUGCAUAAGAAUGUGGGGGAAUGUUUUUUAUUUUUAAAGAAUGCUGGGUUGUGAAUAAUGCGUGCCUAAUCUCUCUCUCUCCCUCCACACACACACCUUUCUCUAAAUUGGAGCGUUCUCUCUUUUUAAUGAUGCAAAGAGAUUUGAGGCAGGGAAAAAAGACAUUCCCUCUGGAAUCUGCUGCCCAGGAGAUUCAGGACAGACAAACGGCACAUAAUUAAUGUGUGGAAUGUGACAAUUGCCUCUAGCCUGGAUGGCUCUAGAGACUGGGAAAAUUCUUGGAGAAUUAGUUAAUCAAUGACUUCUAUUUCUGAUGAAAUGCAGCAGCACGUUUACAUCCUCCCAGUUCAGAGACUGCUGGAUGCCAGCUUCUAGGAGUACGUCAGGAGUGGACAGUUGCCCUCGUCUGAUCCUCCUUGCGGACCUCCCAUAGGCAUCUGGUUGCACAUUGUGGGAAAGAGGAUGCUGAACGAGAUAGGCCUUUAGUUUGAUGAAGCAGGACUGCUCUGAUGCUUCCCGUUGCUUCAUGGCUGACCCAGAUUGUGAUGGAGGUGCCAGUGAAUGGAGCACUAAGUGAAUAUUGUGUCAGUGCAGGGGCGAAACUAGGCUUUAUUUCACCCGGGCCAAAGACCAAGUUUGAAAACAACAACAAUGCACACAGGCUGGGAGCCUCAAUAGCGUCCCUCGUGAAGCUGAGGCUCCAAUACUUUGGCCACCUCAUGAGAAGAGAAGACUCCCUGGAAAAGACCCUGAUGUUGGGAAAGAUGGAGGGCACAAGGAGAAGGGGACGACAGAGGACGAGAUGGUUGGACGAGUGUUCUUGAAGCUACGAACAUGAGUUUGACCAAACUGCGGGAGGCAGUGGAAGACAGGAGUGCCUGGCGUGCUCUGGUCCAUGGGGUCAUGAAGAGUCAGACACGACUAAACGACUAAACAACAACCACAACAACAGAGACUUCACUCAGGACAAUAAAACCUGGCUAGCUCCCACCCCCCACCUGGAGCUAAAGCACUGCAUCAGCAUACAAAUUUCGGCUUGUGCAACUGAAUGGUCUUCCCCUCUCCUCUCCAAACAUGCCCCCUAAAUCUGUUUUGGGGGUUCCCAGAACCACAGCAGAUUUGGGGAGGGCACAGAGCACCCACAGAGGGCAAGGAGUCUCAUUGUAGAAACAGAAAUCCUUGAACUAAUGGGAAUUGUUAGUUGAACACCACCCAGUUCUGGCCAGGGCUCAUAUCAUUUGCAACUAUUCAGCAGGUUCCUGGGUGUCCACUGGCCAACAACUAUUGAUGCUGCAGGACAAAGCAGGCUGGGGAAGAACCCACAUGGGUUCAAACAGAGGACAAAUCUACUUGCAUUGCCUGAUCCUUGGAAUGUAUGUGCUCUAGGCUUCAGCUCCACCUGUCUCCUGCCUGAAUAAAUGGCUGACAGGAGGCCAGUGAGUUGGGAGGGAUCUGUAUGGCUUAGCUUCCUGCUGCCCUCCUUCGCACCUGUCUACUCUACUACUGUGCUGUAAUCAAUGUAUAAAGUACAGCUUAAAACUUCAACGGGAAUCAGAAGGACUGAAAAGUUCCCCAAAAUGACAGCACCUCCUCUUCGCCCAAGAACAUGGGUAGGCAAACUGAGGCCCGGGGCCUGGAUCUGGCCCAAUCGCCUUUUAAAUCCGGCCCACGGACGGUCUGGGAAUCAGCGUGUUUUUACAUGAGUAGAAUGUGUGCUUUUAUUUAAAAUGCAUCCCUGGGUUAUUUGUGGGGCAUAGGAAUUCAUUCAUAUAUUUUUUUACCAAAAUAUAGUAUAGCCCCCAACAAGGUCUGAGAAACAGUGGACCGGCCCCCUGCUGAAAAAGUUUGCUGACCCCUGCUCAAGAACAUGCUAUCCCAUGGGGCUUGCGUCAGAAGAAGUACUCAAGACUCCAAUUCUGCAUAUUUCUUCUCAGAAGUUAGUCCCACGGAGUUCGGUGGGAUAAUAAUAAUAAUAAUAAUAAUAAUAAUAAUAAUAAUUUAUUUAUACCCUGCCCAUCUGGCUGGGUUUCCCCAGCCACUCUGGGCAGCUUCCAACAAAAUAUUAAAAUACAAUAGUCUGUUAAACAUUAAAAGCUUCCCUAAACAGGGCUGCCUUUAGAUGUCUAAGACUAAGAAUUCUUGACCAGGGUUGCUUUGCUUCUUGAAGAAACAGCAGCAGCAAAACGGCAGCAACAGCAUCAGAUCAGAUUUUAAAGCCACGCAGGGCACCAUCAAAUGGUGAUUCAGAUUCGGUGGUGAUUUAAAACAGAUUCCCAGCAAGUGACAAUGCAGUCCUUCUCCGUGGGAGGCUGUUAUAGCACAAUCUUCCUUUCUGCAGGACAGAAAGUGUAUGUGCACAUACAAAUUCCCAUUUUUUGUUUUUUUCCAGAGGCUUUACUUCCUCAAACGCUUCUAGGUUAAAGUGCUCUCGCUUUUGUGAAGGCCAGACAAGAGAAACCCUGCAGGACUGCCUGACAUUUUUAUGCCCAGUUGCACAAGGACCACUGUAGUGCCUUGGUUUCAAAUGAUGGGCUUGGAUGAGUGAAGGUCCGGGUUCAAAUUUCCCAUAAGAUCUACAGCUCAAGGUGACUGUGUAUGUGCACCCACAUAUAUGCCUACACAGAAGUAAGUCCCAUUGACUUCAAUGGAACUUACUCUCUGGUAACUGUGUAUAGGAUUCAACCUGCCUCUCAUCUUAAACAUUAGCCUAAGCUAAUGUUCUCUGCUGGGGGCUGAGAAACACAAUUUUUUUUGGAAGAAAAUAAAUGCAUCAAAUGACUAAAUAUAUAGCCUAUAUUUCUUGCAUGCAAAUGAUCACUCACUGGGGGAGGGAAAGCAACCCCCCCCAACACACACACACACACACACACACACACACACACACACAAAUAGAUACCAUAAGUUUGGGGGUAAGUAAAAGUAAAGGGACCCCUGACCAUUAGGUCCAGUCGUUACCGACUCUGGGGUUGUGGCGCUCAUCUCGCUUUAUUGGCCGAGGGAGCCUGCGUUUGUCCGCAGGCAGCUUCCGGUCAUGUGGCCAGCAUGACUAAGCUGCUUCUGGUGAACCAGAGCAGUGCACGGAAACACUGUUUACCUUCCCGCCAGAGCGGUACCUAUUUAUCUACUUGCACUUUGACGUGCUUUCGAACUGCUAGGUUGGCAGGAGCAGGGAGCUCACCCUGUUGCAGGGAUUCGAACCACCAACCUUCUGAUCGGCAAGUCCUAGGCUCUGUGGUUUAACCCACAGUGCCACCCGCGUCCCUUAAGUUUGGGGGUAAUAUUAUAAAAUAGCAUAUUGUCAACGAUGAAGCUCAUUAUAAUAUUUUUAUCACCUAUGGGUAUGUACACAUUUUCUGUCUCAGGAAACACUUUGUUCAGUCUCUGACAGUCAUAAAAUAUUUUGUUUACUAGAAAGUGCUGUAAAAAUUGUGGAUGAUGGAAUGUGUUGGUUGUUGUAAACCAAGCUACCCAUCUGCCGCCCCCCCCCCCCCCGGUAGUGUCAAUCUUACUAUUUUUAUGUCUGCAGCAUUGAAAUAUUUGCCUAAGAACAUGGCAGGUUCAUUCUGUGUUAUUUUCCUGCCCUCGACCCAUAGAUGUUUAAAGAUUUUCAAGUCCAACAAGGCAAAUUGAAGUGUUUUGCUGCAGAAAAAAAUCAGAAAAGGAUCACUCCUUGAGAACAUAUUAGGGAUAUUUAAGAUCUAGAUAAAGAAGCAUUUCUGAAUGGGAUUGGGCUGGCUCCUUACUUAAUAGCACUGCAUUAGUGCAGUCCAGAAUUUGUUGCUUGAUGAUAAUAAUGAUAGUGAUAAUGAUAAUGAUAAUAAAAUAAACAAUAUACAGAUGUCAAUGGAGGAAGGGGUUGCUGCAGUAAAGCCUUGACGACACAAUGCUGCAAAUCCUAAUUGCAGCUGUUUCACCAAAUCCUAUACAAAAAAAUGGCCUGAUUAAAAUUUCACACUAAUGCAAACUAUACCUUAGCACAACUUAGCACAACAAACUAUAUCUUAGCAAAAGUGUGAUAACAUGUGGGCUUCAAGAUUUUGGGGAGAAAUGUUAUUCAAUAUGCAUUUAAAGUCAAAUCUAUCAAUUUUGCACUUUCUGAAACAAUAUGCAAACCAAAACACAGCUAUCUUUCAAAAUUCACACUUACCUAAAUUUCAUGAUGCAGUUUAUUAACCAAGCAAUGUUGACAAAAAUGCAUUUAUUAGUGGGAAGGGUACAUAAAAAUGACGAAAACGACGCACACAAAUGCAUUAUAUUUGGGGGGAAUUGCUUGCAAAAAUGUGUGAAUUUGUUGAAACUGCAUUGGAAAAUGUGUUUAUUGGGAGAAGUUCACGCUAAAAUGCUGGAGAAUUUCCAUGAGGGUUCUCUUUAAAGAAAACACUGCAAAUUUCUGCAAAAUGUGGAGAACUGGCUUUAAGAUUGGGAAAAUGAGUGAACCAAAAUCAACGGAGCCUUCCAUCCUUAGCUCCAGGAGUAGAGAUAGGGAUGAUUUGGCUCAUCUCCCUUCUAUUUACUGCUGCCCUCCAUGGGUUAGCACAGGGGUCAGCCAUGGGCCAGUCCACCGGCCCUCAGACGGUGGGCCGGACUAUUUUUUUUGGGGGGGGGAAUGAACGAAUUCCUAUGCCCCACAAAUAACGCAGAGAUGAAUUUUAAAUAAAAGCACACCUUCUGCUCAUGUAAAAACACCAGGCAGCCCCACAAAUAACCCAGAGAUGCAUUUUAAAUAAAAGGAGACAUUCUACUCAUGUAAAAACACACUGAUUCCCAGACCGUCCAUGGACCAGAUUGAGAAGGCGAUUGGGCCGGAUCUGGCCCCCGGGCCUUAGGUUGCCUACCCCUGGGUUACCGUGACAUGUGAAAUACUUCACUAAAGUAGUGAAAUCAGUCAUACUGGAUGACAAGCAGCUUCUGGUUAAUAAGGAAUUGUGGGUGCAUAGGCAGGGUGACAACCUCUCUGUACACUGCUGAGAGAGACAGGCAACAUUGCAGAGAAGAUGGAAGUUGUUGUCUAGCACUGCCCAGAGGGUACCAGGUUGGGAUAGUCUAGUUCUAUUCUAUCGGACAGGGGGAUACAGAUACGGAUUCAGAGUUUGGAUGUAGACAACUCCAUCUAGCACAACUGAACUCAGUACUCAGGGAAUAGGAAUUUGAUUUCAAACAAACUUUAUGAAAAGUUUUACAAUUCAAAUUCAAACAUUAAUCCACGUCCUGCUUUUGUUGACUGCUCGUUGUUGUUUUAUAAUAAUUUUUUUAAAAUUUUCAAUUACUAUCCAACAUCAGCCUCAUUAUAACAAUACCAAAUUAUAAUACAAUUACUAAUACCAAUCAUUCAAAUACCAAAUUAUAUAAUUUAGGUGGCCUCCCCCACGUGCUAGAAUUGAUGGUUUGAUGAUUUUCUUUAUUUCUGCGUUUCAAAAUCUUAUUAAUUUCAAUUACAUUCUGGUCAAAAUAAUAAUCCCUUGUACAACAACUGCAAUAUUAAUAACUUCUGUUCGUGAUGACACAUUAAAUGAUUUAUAGAACAAAAAGUGAGGCACUCAAACUAUAUCCUUGUUCUUCCUGUGUGUGACAAUUAUUCUGUCCGUGGUGUUUCUUCCUUUCCUUGUGAAAUGUUAUUUCUAUCUUUUCCCAAUUGUUGCUGUUAUCCAUCAUGCCUUGGGCGGAGCUGAUAUCCCAUUUUUGUUUCAGAAAAUUCCCCAUGCUUUUGCUGACUGCUUGGGACUUCAAAAACGAGGACAAUGUCAAAGCACCCAGGAAGCCAGAAGACAUGGCUGGUGCACUGUUUGGCUUGGUGAAUUACAAAUUCUGCAGGAAGUGAUGAUGUUGGAUGUUGUGGUGGUGAUGUUGGAAGUUUUGUAAGCAAUUCUGAACCAGGGAAAUUUGAGCAUGUCCCACCUCCUGUUAUUUUCUUCUUUACACAGAAAUGCAAUGCCUUAAGCUUCCCUAGGAAUCUUGUGGAACAAGAGAGAGGCUCCCUAUUAUGCCUGUGGAAUGCUGGGAAACUGCCGGGCCUUCCACUCUGAAGCGCUCCUGGUGAUCAUGAAUCCACAUAUUUGCUAUUACACUCUGUACCCUCACUGCCUUCACACACACAGCCCAACGGGUCAUCAGAAUAAUUUGUAACCUUGUCCAUUAGGAUGAUCCAUGGGGCCGGCUGCUCAGCAGCAAUCCCCUUUAUGAUGUUUCGCUUGAGCCAUAAACAGCAUUCUUGGCAACAGAGCUCAUUCAAAAACAGGGAGCAGGAGGAGCAGGGGGAAAGCACAUUUUUCUCCAAGGCCUCCUGUCAUGCAGGAACUUUUGAUACUUCCCAGAUCACUUGAUCUUCCAUUUCUCAGAAGCAAAGGAAGGGGCAGGAAGCUCCAGUGCUUUUAACAGUAUAGCCUGUGUUCCUCUGAAUAGUUGGGAUAUCAAAGCUGUGUGUGCCCUUUGGACAUGCACUCUCAGUUUUAAAUGGGCUUCACUCCCUAGGAGUGACUGAACUGGGCUCAAAAGGCACCGUGAGGAUUUUUUAAAACAAAAUCUAUCUUUGCUAGUUUUCCUGCAAUGUUUAACUAUGGCUCCUCUAUUGGAAUUUGUCACUGG